rnacentral:lncRNA from 1 species
AUUGAAUUUUUUUUCAUAAAGACUUAAAACUGUCAGAGUCAAUAAGGUCACAGGUAAUUAUAAAGUAAAUUACAUAUUUUACACUCAUUUUCAGGAACUCUAAGAUAUUCUUGGGUCCCUUGGCUGCACCCCUUUCUCAAUAUGCUGUCCAAUAAGACCUAAAUAGAGCAGUGACAUUAACUUGAUUAUCUUGUCAACACAUUUCUCCAGUCAUUAAUCCAGGAUUGAUAAAGUCCUCAUAGUGUGUGCAACCCUGCAAUGCUUAUUAUAGAGCAUAGGCAACAAUCAUCUAGAAUGUCUCAGAAUUAGCCAAGAAUGUCACACCUGAAACGUGCCUGGGAAAGCAGGCUCACAGGUGUCAUAUGUAGAUAAGGAAACUAAAUCCAGAGGAAGGGGUACUACAAUCUGUGAAGUGCAGGAUGUGCUGCCUAUCUUGAGGUCUCCAAAGAUGGAAUAGCUCUUAUUUCUAGUAUUGACUUUGUUGUUGUAUACACGACUCUGGAAGAACAACAAAAAUAAUGUUUACUGAAUUCUUAAAAUACUUUCCUCUGCUGGUUUUGCAUUUAAAUUUUUAUUUGAUUUUCACAAUUGCAUACACCUUAUGGCUACCUUUCCAAUUUUAGAGAGGACAAUGUUGGGAUUUGAGGAAAGUUCAGAAUGUCCCUGGCUCCCUUUCUUACUGCAUAUUUGACCUCACAUAGAGUCCAUAUAAGUCCUCUUCUGCAAAAUGAUGAUCAUAACACAUUUCUAACAUGGUAGUUUACAAGGUAACAUUAGGCAGUUUAUGUGAUUACCUAUUACAGUGGUGCUAUAGGGUACAUCACAGCAUCAGUUGCAUUAUUCAAAGGCUUCCCGGAGCUGCAAUUUACCAGAAGUGAAAGCCAAGUACUUGACUGAUAAUAUAGGGCCUGGGCCAUCUGGAUAUGACCAGUAUUUCACUUCUGACCACUACUUUUAAUUCUGCUUUUGAGGUCCUCUCUAUCCUAACACGUUUUUCUACAGUAUUCACUUCAGAGACCAUUCUGUUUAAAAUUGCAGCUCCUCACUCCCCAGUCCCAACACUUUCACCCCACCACUCUGAUUUCUGAAUAGUGUUUAUUACUAAGAUACACCUACUUUUAUGUAUUUCCUAUUUUCCUCCUCCAUCCACCCAAAAUUAAGCUGCAAGAAAAGUAAUUGAUGUGUUUUGUUUUGUUCUUGCUGAGCACCUAAUUGUUGCUUAUCAAAUAAAUGUCAAUGUUUCUCUGUGCCUUUCUUCCUUCCUGUUCCAAGUUCAACACCCUUUACUGAUCAAAAGUCUUUAUCCUCCCAAGUGUGAAAAAGAGAAGACAGACACUUGAACUAUCAGUACCUAUGACACACACUAAGGGGCUCAGAGGGAAAAACCAAACAAAAAACCAACCAACCAACAACAAAAAAUGUUCAAAUCAGAGACAAGUAAUGUUGCCAGGGUCUCUUUACCUGCACCGUAGCUUCCUGUUUGAGAUGUCUAGAACUUUGUUUCCUUUUUUUCUAUUUGUUUUAAGUGUUCACGUGGCUUGGGCAGGGUGAAGCACCCAUUCUCUAUUCUUCAAUGUUUCAGUAAUGAGUUUUUAAUGGCUAACUUCUGUGUUCUGCACAGGGUGUUAUUUCUCAUGCUCUCUAGCUUAGUGGCAAACAGAUAUCAUCAGUGAAUCUCAAUGCAUUAUAAUAUGAAAUAAUUUAACUAAGAUGAAAUUAUUAUAUAAUUCCUUCAUAGGGGCAUUUAAUUCCAGUUGGAAUUUUAGAGAAGAUUUCCAAAUGACAUCUUGAAAAUAACCAAGUUAGUUUGAUCAAGAAGCAACAGCAGGGAAUUCCAGUCAGAGGUCAUGCUAAGC